rnacentral:rRNA from 1 species
AUGGUUGGAUGAAAAAUUUACUUUCUUUAUUUUAAAAUCAAAAUUUGAUUUCUAGAUUAAAAAGUCUAGAUUUUAUUAUAGGACGAGAAGACCCUAUAGAACUUUACUCUUUGUUAAGUAUAUAUUUUAUUGUAAAUGAUUUUUACAUACAUUAGUAGGGAGUUUUGUUGGGGUGACAAAAAAAAUUUUAUAACUUUUUUUAUUUAUGUCAUUUAUGUAUGCUUUUUUGAUCCUUUUUUAUGGAUAAUAAGAUUAAGUUACCUUAGGGAUAACAGCGUUAUUAUUUUAGAGAGUUCUUAUCGAUAAAAUAGUUUGCGACCUCGAUGUUGGAUUAAAAUUAGUUUCAGGUGUAGAAGAUUGAU